CCAACUCUGUUUCUUUAAACUUACUCUUUUGUCUUUUUUUUUCCUUUUUGACCUUUUGACUAACUCUGUUUUUUUUCCCCCUGUGCUUCAGAAAACCCCUCAUCUGCCAUCCUCCCACCACAUUAGCUCUGUUUGUUCACUACUGCACUCUUGGACUCCUGCCACCACCGGCUCUGCACCACCAUGGACACUUCAUGCUCUGGAUCACCAGCUCACAUGCACGUCCACCCUGGCGUGUGUUCAACUAAUUCAGACUUGAGGUGUAACUCUGUGGAUUCAUGCGAGACUCUGUCAUAGCGCCAGGGAAGCUGCUGUCGCACAGAGAUAUGCUGAAGGUCGUCUGAGGGUGGCUGUAGGUGCAGAGACCAGUCGGGGGGCCAGACAAAGACACAGACUCACUCAUGUACUACUCUCGGUAAUACCCCAAAGACCAAAGAGUCAUUCAUCUUCUUACAUCUUUGCUGUUGGAGUCAUCGCCAGCUAACAACCUGCUGUGACGGUCCCAGUAGUCCAGAUGGACUCUGAACUACCUUCGCUCUCAAAACCAGGACGAUCAACUUCUAAUUUAGGGCUAAUGGAUAAAAUCUCUAAUGUGUGUUGACAUCACGAAUACCCAAGAUGUUUUUAAAGGAUCUGGGGCAUGACGUUACACACAAAGGUAGCUCAAACACUUAUCCUCAUUAGUAACUGCUGCUUGAGAACACAGGACUGGAGAUGAUUAGUACAUUGACUUUCCACAGGGGAGACAGAGAGGGCGAGGCGGUGUAAUUUCAUUGUUGUUUUUUAUUGUCUGUCCUGCUCUAUUGGUAAUCAUUGAAGAACCCGAACAUGUUUUCUGUCAAAGUCACCACCUGUACAUUGCGUAGGUGUGUUUUGGCUCAAUAUAUUUGAUGUGCUUUUUUUUUUUUUUAAUUCAACUCAUUUACAGCAGUUAAUGUUGAAAGGUCCUCUUGCUAAGAAAGAACAAAGGAAGCAAGAAGAAUUUUCAAGCAAAGGAAACCAUGUAGGAUAAACAUAGUUUAUAAAAAUCAAUGUGUGGAAGAAAUGUCCAGAGCCUUUAAUCAAA